AAUGGGUCAGCGACUUAUAUUCUGUAGCAAGGUUAACCGAAUAGGGGAGCCGAAGGGAAACCGAGUCUUAACUGGGCGUUAAGUUGCAGGGUAUAGACCCGAAACCCGGUGAUCUAGCCAUGGGCAGGUUGAAGGUUGGGUAACACUAACUGGAGGACCGAACCGACUAAUGUUGAAAAAUUAGCGGAUGACUUGUGGCUGGGGGUGAAAGGCCAAUCAAACCGGGAGAUAGCUGGUUCUCCCCGAAAGCUAUUUAGGUAGCGCCUCGUGAAUUCAUCUCCGGGGGUAGAGCACUGUUUCGGCAAGGGGGUCAUCCCGACUUACCAACCCGAUGCAAACUGCGAAUACCGGAGAAUGUUAUCACGGGAGACACACGGCGGGUGCUAACGUCCGUCGUGAAGAGGGAAACAACCCAGACCGCCAGCUAAGGUCCCAAAGUCAUGGUUAAGUGGGAAACGAUGUGGGAAGGCCCAGACAGCCAGGAUGUUGGCUUAGAAGCAGCCAUCAUUUAAAGAAAGCGUAAUAGCUCACUGGUCGAGUCGGCCUGCGCGGAAGAUGUAACGGGGCUAAACCAUGCACCGAAGCUGCGGCAGCGACACUGUGUGUUGUUGGGUAGGGGAGCGUUCUGUAAGCCUGUGAAGGUGUACUGUGAGGUAUGCUGGAGGUAUCAGAAGUGCGAAUGCUGACAUAAGUAACGAUAAAGCGGGUGAAAAGCCCGCUCGCCGGAAGACCAAGGGUUCCUGUCCAACGUUAAUCGGGGCAGGGUGAGUCGACCCCUAAGGCGAGGCCGAAAGGCGUAGUCGAUGGGAAACAGGUUAAUAUUCCUGUACUUGGUGUUACUGCGAAGGGGGGACGGAGAAGGCUAUGUUGGCCGGGCGACGGUUGUCCCGGUUUAAGCGUGUAGGCUGGUUUUCCAGGCAAAUCCGGAAAAUCAAGGCUGAGGCGUGAUGACGAGGCACUACGGUGCUGAAGCAACAAAUGCCCUGCUUCCAGGAAAAGCCUCUAAGCAUCAGGUAACAUCAAAUCGUACCCCAAACCGACACAGGUGGUCAGGUAGAGAAUACCAAGGCGCUUGAGAGAACUCGGGUGAAGGAACUAGGCAAAAUGAUGCCGUAACUUCGGGAGAAGGCACGCUGAUAUGUAGGUGAAGCGACUUGCUCGUGGAGCUGAAAUCAGUCGAAGAUACCAGCUGGCUGCAACUGUUUAUUAAAAACACAGCACUGUGCAAACACGAAAGUGGACGUAUACGG
rnacentral:rRNA from 1 species